GGUUCCAUAGUCUAGCAGUUAGCAAAUCUGCUUUAUACACAGAAGAUCCUGGGUUUGCACCCCAGUGGAACCA
rnacentral:tRNA from 1 species